ACCAGGCUGCGUUCGGAGCUCUGCUCUCCAGCUAUCCGUUUUCAGGGACUGGGUCUUCCUCCCUGCAUCCUUACCUCCUUAGGUCUUGAAGACGGGCUUCUUGCUGCCCCCAUCAUCUCGGUUUUGACAGUAACUUCUUAUAACGGGCCAUUUACGGUCAAUUCUCUUCUGGGGUUGCCAUAGAGCUUCCUCACCUGGGUGUCGUGCCCUAUAGGUCGCCUUGCUCGGCAGCCUCUCCGGUCCGGGAGUCAUUCCUCUCGCUAAGAGUGUUCUCUCGUUUGUGAGUUGCGUUGUUUGUAGCGUUCUGUGUAGCGUCUGUCUCUGUGUGUGGUGUGUGUGUGUGGAGCUGCUCUGCCCAGGGCUGUCGAGUCGGGGAUAGGCGGAAUAGCAAUAGGAGCGUACGGUUAGCGUGCCGAUACGGCCCGUCCGGAAUUGUUUGGCUCUCACUCGGCAUCUGGGUGACUUGUUUGAUAACUCGGUGUGAUUUUUCCAGAUGCGGACUGGCUAGAUGCCCACCGACGAGCGGCAGAGGAGGAGAGCAGAGCGCCGUAAGAAGGUGGCGGUCAGGCCUCGGCACGGCAGGCCGAAGAAUCCGACUCCGAGCGGCCGAGGAAAAGGGACAGGCGAGAGGAAGGCGUUUCCAAGGAGGGCUUCGUCGCAGCGGAGGUCGACGCCGGGCGGCACGUCGGCGACCGGCGACGCUCUGUCUCGUGAGGGAUGAAGCGGAACCUGGGGGAUGGGGGAGCGUCCCGGUUAGAUGACCUUUUCCCCAUGAGAAGGGAAUCUGGAUUCUGCCCUCUGAAAGGUCUCUAGGUUCUGCCGCACGCGCUCGGCGAGCAUCCGCGGGGUCCGCGACGCCUCGUCGCUUCGGAAUACGGCCCGUCGAGCGUUUCUCGUCUCGCGAUCGGAGCUUAAAGCGCACCUCGCAUCGCAGAUGUUUCUGCGAGGUGGCCUUUGCGGAGGUGGUCCGUGCCGGACUCACAGUCGUGCUCUAGAAACUUCUGCCUCAAUUGAAGUUUGAUACCAUCUUUCAUCCCUGUAUGCUGUGGGAUGCCGGACUAGUCUAGUCUUGUUGGUGCCGAAUACAGGGCCAUUUUGACCCAGCAGAAGGGGCCUGGGGGAGUCCAGCUUGGGCGAGAGCAGGGAUUGAGCAACUUGCUUAUCUUGCACUGAUAAGCACCGGACCCGAACAGGGGCAGGAGAUGAGCAAUUUGUUCAUCUUAACAAGAUGCGGCGUCUGACGGGUCUACUCCUUAAUCAACUAAGUGACGCCUGGGGUGAGGGGGAGCCUCCUUCGCAGCUCGACCUUACUUUGGUAAAACUAAACAGACC